UCCCUUUUAUAAAUGUAUAUUAAAGUAACAAAAAUGAAAACAUAAUAACAAUUUAUAACAAUUUGUAUAUGUUUAAGUAAUAAACGCAUUUAAUGUAAAUUAAGAUAAUUUGCUAUGAAUUUGAAAACUAAAAGUUUUUAUUAUUGCGUUUUUCCUAUGUACACAAUUUAUAUUGUUUAACUAUUUUAACCUUAACCUUAAUUAUUUUUACUAAUAUAUAAUUUUCUUUUUGUUUUUACAGAUGUCUAAAUGAAAACAAUUUAACGCCAAGACUAAAUAUAAAAAGAAUGUUAUCUCUGAUGUUGUCAAGUUGAAACUACAGCAGUAAACUCCAAAUAGCUGCCUGUUUUAAUGUUUACCACAAUCAAUCGGAAGUAAUAACUACUUUUUUCCCAGUAAAAUGAAAUAAAAGUGAAAAAUAUCUAUAAAUGAGUGUGAAGUAUAAGACAAGAAAUAGUCUUGAGAUAAAGUACCAACAAACUAUGGUCAGUAUUAGAGGUAAUGGUAUGAUGUUUUCCAUCUAGCUGAAUGUUAAUGAUAAUGAUGAUGUUAUAAAGUGUAAACUACAAUUUUGCAAGCAAUAGUUUUCUUAUCGAUUGAUUAACAUGCUGUAAACAAAUUGAAUAAUGAUAAAAGUAAAGCAGUUAUUAAAGCAUUAUCAUCAUCAAUAUUGACAUGUGUUUUUUGACAUUGUCAUCUUCAUCAUCAACAGCAUCUCUGGCUUUAACAACUUUAACGUUGUCUUGGCACAUUUCUUAAAUGUGUUUAUUUAAUUUGAAUGCUUUCAUUUCUGGGUGUAUUACAUAUUUGACCACUUUAGUUUAUGGGCAUGUAUCUUUCAGUUACCUAUACAUGUUUACUUUAUAUAUACACAUACAUACAUGUCAUAUCUAUAGGUAUUUUAACAAUACAAUUAUUUGCCAUUUAUUAUUAUUAUUGCUUUAACUUUUAAACUAAUAAAUACUUUCUCCUUGGUUGGUGUGGUUUUUUUCUUUCUUUCUUUUUUUUUUUAAUUUAAUUUUGUUUUUGUUUUCUUACUAUUUUUAUGCUUUUUAUUUUAUUUCCCUACAUUUUGCUGUCGGUUGGUUUGACUUGAUUAGUCAUAAAAAAAUAUUCAUAAAUUGUAUUUGCUAAUCAUCAUAAUAUGUAAAUGUUUCAGCAAAUAUCCAGCAAGUAUGUAGAUAGAGUUAUUUAAUAGUUAGUAAACAAAUAUGUAUGUAUGUUUAUGUAUUUACGUGUGUUUAUAUUAUUACGUAGAAGUUGCAGUUUAGGGUUUUGCCUAGUGUGUGUUUAAAAUAGAAUAAAGUUAUGUUUAAUAAACCAAGGCACGUAAAUAAGUUCAAUUUAAAUAAAAAAUUUGUUAAUAAACUAAUUUAUUUAGUUGAUUAAUUAAGACCCUUUUUUAAAUUUUAAUAGUUUUAGUUAAAAAGUUUUUAAAUUUUUAAUUAAAUUCUAAGUUUAUUUGCUUAUCUGUUUUGAAAUCUUCGGUUUGAAAUAAGUAAUUCUGCUGUUGUUUCUUAAUGCAAACUUAUCAGAUUAAAUAAGUUUUAAUUAAAGUUUUUAAAAUCUUUUAAAUAACUUAGAAUCAAGGUUAUAUUUCAUUUUAAAUCAAUUUAAUUAAAAAAAAAAUCAUGUAAUAUAGUAUUGAAAAUAUUUUAGUGAAUUAAUUAGAAAACUAAAAAGGUUAAGAUUUAAAUUUUAUUUCAGAUUAAUUGCUACUAAA